rnacentral:rRNA from 1 species
GAUGAACGCUAGCGGCAGGCUUAAUACAUGCAAGUCGAGGGGCAGCAUGUCCCGCAGCAAUGCGGGAUGAUGGCGACCGGCAAACGGGUGCGGAACACGUACAGAACCUUCCUUCGAGCGGGGAAUAGCCCAGAGAAAUUUGGAUUAAUACCCCAUAGCAUAUUGAUAAGGCAUCUUAUUAAUAUUAAAGAUUUAUCACUUGAAGAUGGCUGUGCGGCUGAUUAGGUAGUUGGCGGGGUAACGGCCCACCAAGCCUACGAUCAGUAACUGGUGUGAGAGCACGACCAGUCACACGGGCACUGAGACACGGGCCCGACUCCUACGGGAGGCAGCAGUAAGGAAUAUUGGUCAAUGGACGCAAGUCUGAACCAGCCAUGCCGCGUGGAGGAUGAAGGUCCUCUGGAUUGUAAACUUCUUUUAUCUGGGAACGAAAAAGGUUUUUCCAGACCGACUGACGGUACCAGAUGAAUAAGCACCGGCUAACUCCGU